UAAGCCUAAUUAGUCCAUGAUUGGACACUAAUUAUCAAAUAAAAUUAAACGAAAAUGCUACAGUAGCCAAAUCCAAAAACUUUUCGGAACUAAACAAGGCCUAAAUGAAAAAGAACACUUCCCAACUAUUACAUAAAAUAUGCUUUCACCUCUUGCGAUAUAACAACUACUAUUCCCUUUGUUUUUUAGUAUAUAUGACGUUUAGGACAGGCUAAUUAGUUUACUUUCGAACUAGUUAGUUUGUCGUGAAUGCCAUCAUAAAUGUAAAAGCAGAGGGAGUUAAACUUCCUCCCUUCCCAAGUUUUCUUUGCAGCAGUCAUAAGCAUGAUUCUUAAUGACCAUUUUCUGUGAUCCUUGCACACGAGAAUUCAUGUUUUUUUUUGCGCUUUGCAGAGGAACACUUGGAACUUAGGAAGCCUUGGUACAAUAGAAUUGCACCGGUCUGCUCUGAUGAUGGUUCAUCAUCGUCCUCUUUGCCUCAUGUGAUUGAAGCAGUAAGUUGUGCCUGUGCAUGUGCUCCUGAUUGCCAACCCUUUUGUUCACAUCAAACCCUCAAAUUCCUCUUCAAAGUCUGCAAGGCCCUCUAGGAUUUCACCAUCUUUAUAUUUUAAAUUGUAGUUGCAUGAUUUCAAAUUAUAGAGUUCACUUUCUAGGUGUUUCAUGUUACAGGUGUCACCUUAUGUUUCUGUUAAUGUGCACAACAGCUUUAUGUCUGAUGCUGUCAAUUUACUGGUUGAAUGCUUCCGGUAAGUAUGUGAGGGCAGUAUUUUCAGUGUACUUAUUUGUGAAAUCGAAAACUCACUGUGCUGUGUUACCCCAGAGUAUUAGGAGACCUCAAGUCACGGAUAUUGGCACCUGUUGAAGAAAUGAAGAAUAAAGUCAGCCUUGCCUUGUGGCUUUAGACAUGUUGCAAAAUGGCCAUAUGAGUAAAGAUGGAAAGGUUGCAGAUGCUGAAUAUGGUCUUAAAUAGCGGUCUAUAGCGCCGCUAUAGCUGUUGGAGAGACAUUUGUCGUUAUAGCUAUGGCUGCUAAAUUGUGCUUUAGCGUCGCUAUAUUGCUUAGCUUUAGCUCUAAAAUAGCUCGCUAUUUCAAUUUCAGCUACAACGAUGAUGAUCUAGCUAUGAUCUGCUUAUCUUUGGAUGUUAAUUUGGUCUUUUGGAUAACACACUUGAGUUUCAUGAA